rnacentral:rRNA from 1 species
UACGUAGGGGGCAAGCGUUGCCCGGAUUUAUUGGGCGUAAAGCGCACGCAGGCGGUCAAGUCAGUUUGGAGUGACAGGUGGUGGCUUAACUGCCACAGGCCUCCAAAGACGGCUUGACUUGAGGGCUUGAGAGGGACGCGGAAUUCCAGGUGGAGCGGUGAAAUGCGUAGAGAUCUGGAAGAACACCAAAGGCGAAGGCAGCGUCCUGGCAAGUUCCUAACGCUCAGGUGCGAAAGCUAGGGGAGCGAACGGG